GAUGAACGCUAGCUACAGGCUUAACACAUGCAAGUCGAGGGGAAACGACAUCGAAAGCUUGCUUUUGAUGGGCGUCGACCGGCGCACGGGUGAGUAACGCGUAUCCAACCUGCCCACCACUUGGGGAUAACCUUGCGAAAGUAAGACUAAUACCCAAUGAUAUCUCUAGAAGACAUCUGAAAGAGAUUAAAGAUUUAUCGGUGAUGGAUGGGGAUGCGUCUGAUUAGCUUGUUGGCGGGGUAACGGCCCACCAAGGCUACGAUCCGUAGGGGUUCUGAGAGGAAGGUCCCCCACAUUGGAACUGAGACACGGUCCAAACUCCUACGGGAGGCAGCAGUGAGGAAUAUUGGUCAAUGGACGAGAGUCUGAACCAGCCAAGUAGCGUGCAGGAUGACGGCCCUACGGGUUGUAAACUGCUUUUAUAAGGGAAUAAAGUGAGACUCGUGAGACUUUUUGCAUGUACCUUAUGAAUAAGGACCGGCUAAUUCCGUGCCAGCCGCCGCGGUAA
rnacentral:rRNA from 1 species